GGUAGUGGCAGGUUAAGAUAGAAAAUAUCGGAGCCAUAGCGAAAGCGAGUUUUAAUAGAGCGUUUGUCACUAUUUACAGACCCGAACCCGGAUGAUCUAGUCAUGACCAGGAUGAAGCUUAAGUAACACUAAGUGGAGGUCCGAACCGACUGAUGUUGAAAAAUCAACGGAUGAGUUGUGAUUAGGGGUGAAAUGCCAAUCGAAUCCGGAGCUAGCUGGAUCUCCUCGAAAUGCGUUUUGGCGCAGCGGUUAAUUUCAGUAACUUAGGGGUAAAGCACUGUUUCGGUGCGGGCUGUGAAAACGGUACUAAAUCGAUGCAAACUCUGAAUACUAAGUUAUAAUUAACCAGUGAGACAGUGGGGGAUAAGCUUCAUUGUCAAAAGGGAAACAGCCCAGACUACCAGCUAAGGCCCCUAAGUAAUUGCUAAGUGGUAAAGGAGGUGGGAAUGCUUAGACAGCCAGGAGGUUUGCUUAGAAGCAGCAAUCCUUUAAAGAGUGCGUAAUAGCUCACUGGUCAAGUGAGCCUGCGCCGAAAAUGAACGGGACUAAGCAAUUUGCCGAAGCUGUAGGAUGUUUUACAUCGGUAGAGGAGCGUUCUGCAUUAGGUUGAAGCGUUAGCGUGAGCGGGCGUGGACGAAGCAGAAGUGAGAAUGUCGGCUUGAGUAGCGAAAACAUUGGUGAGAAUCCAAUGCCCCGAAAACCUAAGGUUUCCUCUGGAAGGUUCGUCCGCAGAGGGUGAGUCAGGACCUAAGGCGAGACUGAAAAGUGUAGUCGAUGGACAACAGGUUAAUAUUCCUGUACCGUUUAUUAUUGGCACCAAAGGACGGAGCAAGCUAGGUCAGCCAGGUGUUGGUUUCUGGUUCAAAUGUCUGAGGUUAUGAGAAAUAGAGACAAUAUUUCGAGCUAAAGCAUGAGUACAAGGCACCACGGUGCUAAAGUGAUUGAAGUUAUACUUCCUAGAAAAGUUUGUAAUGCCUUAAAUAAUAAACGCCUGUACCCUAAACCGACACAGGUAGGUAAGUAGAGUAUACUAAGGGGCGCGAGAUAACUCUCUUUAAGGAACUCGGCAAAAUGACUCCGUAACUUAGGAAGAAGGAGUACCCUUUACAGGGUUGCAAAAACCAGACCCAAGCGACUGUUUACCAAAAACACAGGUCUCCGCUAAGUCGCAAGACAACGUAUGGAGGCUGACGCCUGCCCAGUGCCGGAAGGUUAAGUGAGUUGGUUCGUCUAACGACAAAGCUAGCAAUCGAAGCCCCGGUGAACGGCGGCCGUAACUAUAACGGUCCUAAG
rnacentral:rRNA from 16 species